rnacentral:rRNA from 1 species
GACGAACGCUGGCGGCGUGCUUAACACAUGCAAGUCGAACGGAAAGGCCCUGCUUUUGUGGGGUGCUCGAGUGGCGAACGGGUGAGUAACACGUGAGUAACCUGCCCUUGACUUUGGGAUAACUUCAGGAAACUGGGGCUAAUACCGGAUAGGAGCUCCUGCUGCAUGGUGGGGGUUGGAAAGUUUCGGCGGUUGGGGAUUGACUCGCGGCUUAUCAGCUUGUUGGUGGGGUAGUGGCUUACCAAGGCUUUGACGGGUAGCCGGCCUGAGAGGGUGACCGGCCACAUUGGGACUGAGAGACGGCCCAGACUCCUACGGGAGGCAGCAGUGGGGAAUAUGGCACAAGGGGCGGAAGCCUGAUGAAGCAACGCCGCGUGCGGGAUGACGGCCUUCGGGUUGUAAACCGCUUUCGCCUGUGACGAAGCGUGAGUGACGGUAAUGGGUAAAGAAGCACCGGCUAACUACGU